rnacentral:rRNA from 1 species
CCUAGGGUGGCUGCAGUAAGGAAUAUUGGUCAAUGGACGCAAGUCUGAACCAGCCAUGCCGCGUGGAGGAUGAAGGUCCUCUGGAUUGUAAACUUCUUUUAUUUGGGAAGAAACUCCCGAUUUCCAUCGGGAUUGACGGUCCCAGAUGAAUAAGCACCGGCUAACUCCGUGCCAGCAGCCGCGGUAAUACGGAGGGUGCAAGCGUUAUCCGGGUUCCAUGGGUGUAAAGGGUGCGAGGUAGGUCAGGGAUGAAAUCUCCGGGCUUAACCCGGAAACUGCCAUUGAUACUAUUUGUCUUGAAUACUCUGGAGGUGAGCGGAAUAUGUCAUGUAGCGGUGAAAUGCUUAGAUAUGACAUAGAACACCCAUUGCGAAGGCAGCUCACUACGGAAAUAUUGACGCUGAGGCACGAAAGCGUGGGGAUCAAACAGGAUUAGAUACCCGUGUAGUC